AAAACUGGCUUCUAGGGUUCCGGUCCCGCUCCUGUGGUGGGACGGCUGGUCCGAGAGAAGCAGCCGGUCCGACAGCAGGGCCGGUCACACGGCGGGAGAAAAGCCCGGGAGAG
rnacentral:sRNA from 20 species